UCAGAGGAGACUUGGGGGAAAAAAGGAAGGAUCCUAUUACAGCUCCUGGGUAGGAAUGCAAGGACUGUGGACCUCUUCAUAGGGGAUCCACCUAUCAGGUUAUCACUGUUGCUGCCAGGCCCUGAGGAGAAGGCUCAGUGGUUAAGAGUACUGGGUCCCCUUUUUGAGGGCUCAGGUCUGAUUCCUAACACCCACAUAACUGUUGUGAUCGCCGUGUAGCUCCAGAAAGGCCAUACCAGGCCAAACAUUUCUACGUGAGGUUUAUUGAGAGAGAAAACGGCAAGGUGACAGCAGAAAGAGAAGGGAAGGAAGAGAGAGAUCAGAGGGACCUUCCUUUUAUAUAUGGAUAGUGACAUAGCCACAGGAGGACAACAUAGCUGGGAGCCUACAGUGGGUUAACUCUCAUUACCUUCUCUGGCCAAGAGCUGAACUUGGGAAAAGCAUCCAGAUGACAAAUUUUACAGGUUCUCUUGGGAAAUCUUGUAUAUUGUCUUCCUACUCAAAAGAAUAUUAAGCUUGACACUCGAGA